GAAGAAGAUGAGGCUGUAGACAAAAAGCCAACUCUACUCAGUGCCCAGGAAGAUACUCCUGACCUUCUCCAUGAGGACAGAUUACAGUGUCUGCAGGAAGAGGGUUCCGGUGUGAUGCAUCAGGAAUGUCAGAUCCAGUCCUGUAAGCUCUCGGUAGCUCAGAAGCCCAGGCCCUCUUCUCCUGCAGUGACAUCCUUGGCAUCACCACCACUCUGCUUUGGCAGUUUCCUAAGCUGUGUCUGCCAGACCUUCUCAAGGUCUAGGAAGCAGAAGCCUCCCAGAAGAAAAGGUAACAACCAGGCUGAGGCAGGAGAGAGAUGAACCAGGUACCUCAGAUGGAAAUGCAGAAAUCACCGUCUUCUGCGUCGCUCACGCUGGGAGCUGUAGACCGGAGCUGUUCCUAUUUGGCCAUCUUGGCUCCUCCCAUAGGACACCUUUCUAAAGUCAGUCAUGCUUUGAUACUUUUAGUUGUCUAAAAAGUGGUUGAUUUCUCAUUUUAAACAGUAUUGAGUUUUCUUGAGCUAAUUGACCAUGAUAAAUGGGUUUUACUACAUAAAAUUUCAAAUUAUCCAAACUAUAUCUAUAUUUACAUACAUAUUUUCUCCAUUUAAUACAAGAAGCACGCUCCCAGGUGAGGCAUCAUGUAUGAAAGUCCUGAGUCAUAGAGCCUGUUAUUAAAAGCUCACCAGAAUGCAGGUAUUCUUGUUGCUAUUAUACUUUAUUAUUGUUAUUUAUCAUAAUAAGUGUUUCAGGUUAGUUGUUCUAUCAUAGAAAAACUAUUAGUGGGAGCCUAGUUAGCCAUAUCUUCAGCCCCAUCUACAAUACUGAUUUUCACAUAAAAGUUAUUUGCUAC
rnacentral:lncRNA from 1 species